UACUGGGGUCAAGGGACUGCAGUCACUGUUAAUUCAGGAACUGCACCGACUCUGUUCCCUGUGGUUCAAUGCGGCUCUGGGACUGGAAAUCAAAUCACUGUUGGUUGUCUGGCUCAUGACUUCAUCCCAAAGAGUACUUUCCAGUGGACGGAUGACAGCGGGACCAGUUUACCUUCUGUACAAUAUUCUACAACUGUCAAUGACAACAAAUUCACAGGUCUUAGUCUGGCCCGAGUAUCCAAAUCUGACUGGGGUUCAAGGAAAUCUUUUAACUGUUCUAUGACGUAUCCUGGAGGAUCCAAAAGUGUCAACUUGCAAAAAAAUGAAAUAGAAGAAACUGGCUUCACUACUUGGCCCCCCAAAUCAUUCAGGAACACGUUUUCAGCUGUCAGUGUUCUGAAUGUGAAGAACACAGACUGGGACAGUAAAGCCGUGUACACAUGUGAGGUGACACACAAAGGCAAAUUAUAUAUGAAGAAGGCCUCAAAAGCUGCUGUCACAUUGGCCCUUAACCAACCAAGUCCCAAAGAAUUGUUCAACAACAACCAGGCAAAGUUGGACUGUAUCGUUUCUGGACAAGACAGGAGUGUUGUAAACGACAUGAGAAUAACUUGGCAAAUUAAUGAACACAAUGUGUCUGAUGCCAUUACUUCGACGCCAAAUUCCAGAAAUGGUCAACACAGCAAAAUCAGUACGUUGACUCGGAGUCUCUCAGAGUGGCAGACAGUCAACAAAGUGAGAUGUUCUGCCAUGAGAGACAAUAUGACACCAGUAAUUCAAGACCUGACUGUCCAUAAAGGAGAUUGGAAGAAAACAAAAGUGACCGUCCACGUCCUCCCAGAGGAGGAAAUCAGCAAAGGAAACGAGGUCACUCUAGUGUGCCUGGUCUCCAGUCUUGAACAGCAGGAUUACUACAUCGCCUGGUCUGAGUACAUUGGACAAAAGACUGGAAACUAUGUUGAUGGCAUUAACUUCCCACCUCAGAAGACCCAACAAGGCUACUCAGUAACAAGUGUUUACUACACAACCAAGGACAAGUGGAACAACCACAUGUACACGUGCAACGUCUGGCCUGCUGGCAGCAAUAGUUCCAUGAAUCCACAGGCAGUGUCUAAGGCCCAGGAGUCAAAAGUGAGUUGGGGUGAAUACAAUAUACAUGAUGCCGUUGAAGAGGAUGAGUUCAGCAGCUUGUGGUCCACAGCCGCCUCUUUCAUAUUCCUCUUCAUAGCCUCUCUCUUCUACAGCAUGAUAAUCAGCCUAGUCAAGAUAAGGAGUCAAUAAGGGAUGGAACGGAUGCACAACACAGACAAGCAAAUUUGUGAUUUUUGGUAUUUCAUUUUAAUCUAGUUUUAAAAACAUGAACAUAAUCCACAAACUACUGUAUAUUGUAAUUUCAAAAAUGUCAUAUAUGAUGUUUAAAAAUUCUAUUAAAGUGUAUUUUCUGUAACCUAAA